rnacentral:rRNA from 1 species
AGUGAACGCUGGCGGUAGGCCUAACACAUGCAAGUCGAACGGCAGCACAGUAAGAGCUUGCUCUUAUGGGUGGCGAGUGGCGGACGGGUGAGGAAUACAUCGGAAUCUAUUUUUUCGUGGGGGAUAACGUAGGGAAACUUACGCUAAUACCGCAUACGACGUACCGGUGAAAGCAGUGGAUCUUCGGACCUUUCGCGAUUGAAUGAGCCGAUGUCGGAUUAGUUAGUUGGCGGGGUAAAGGCCCACCAAGGCGACGACCCGUAGAUGGUCUGAGAGGACGAUCAGCCACACUGGAACUGAAACACGGUCCAGAGUCCUAAGAGAGGCAGCAGUGGCGAAUAUUGGACAAUGGUGGCAAGCCUGACCCAGACAGACCACGUGGGUGAAGAAGGCCUUCGGGUUGUAAAGUCCUUUUGUUGGGAAAGAAAAGCAGCAGGUUAAUACCCCGCUGUUCUGACGGUACCCAAAGAAUAAGCACCGGCUAACUACGUG